rnacentral:rRNA from 1 species
GAUGAACGCUGGCGGCGUGCCUAAUACAUGCCAGUCGAGCGAACAGACGAGGAGCUUGCUCCUCUGACGUUAGCGGCGGACGGGUGAGUAACACGUGGAUAACCUACCUAUAAGACUGGGAUAACUUCGGGAAACCGGAGCUAAUACCGGAUAAUAUAUUGAACCGCAUGGUUCAAUAGUGAAAGACGGUCUUGCUGUCACUUAUAGAUGGAUCCGCGCCGCAUUAGCUAGUUGGUAAGGUAACGGCUUACCAAGGCAACGAUGCGUAGCCGACCUGAGAGGGUGAUCGGCCACACUGGAACUGAGACACGGUCCAGACUCCUAAGGGAGGCAGCAGUAGGGAAUCUUCCGCAAUGGGCGAAAGCGUGACGGAGCAACGACGCGUGAGUGAAGAAGGUCUUCGGAUCGUAAAACUCUGUUAUUAGGGAAGAACAAAUGUGUAAGUAACUAUGCACGUCUUGACGGUACCUAAUCAGAAAGCCACGGCUAACUACGUG